rnacentral:tRNA from 1 species
GUCAGUGUGGUGUAGUAGUUUGAGUGUUGGAUUACAACUCCGGAAACCAGGGUUCAAUUCCCAGCUCAACCA